rnacentral:rRNA from 1 species
CGGAGGGUGCAAGCGUUAUCCGGAUUCACUGGGGUUAAAGGGUGCGUAGGUGGGCAGGUAAGUCAGUGGUGAAAUCUCCGGGCUUAACCCGGAAACUGCCAUUGAUACUAUCUGUCUUGAAUACCCUGGAGGUGAGCGGAAUAUGUCAUGUAGCGGUGAAAUGCUUAGAUAUGACAUAGAACACCCAUUGCGAAGGCAGCUCACUACGGGAAUAUUGACACUGAGGCACGAAAGCGUGGGGAUCAAACAGGAUUAGAUACCCUGGUAGUCCACGCCCUAAACUAUGGAUACUCGACAUCAGCGAUAAACUGUUGGUGUCUGAGCGAAAGCAUUAAGUAUCCCACCUGGGAAGUACGAUCGCAAGAUUG